GACGAACGCUGGCGGCGUGCUUAACACAUGCAAGUCGAGCGGAAAGGCCUUUUGGGGUUCUCGAGCGGCGAACGGGUGAGUAACUCGUUAGUAAACUGCCCCAGACCUUGUGAUAACCCUCGGAAACGGGGGCUAAUACCGGAUACGACCCAGCUUCGCUUGGGGACUGUGUGGAAGGUUUUUCGGUUUGGGUUGGGCUCGCGGCCUAUCUGCUUGUUGGUGGGGUGAUGGCCUACCAAGGCGACGACGGGAAGCCGGCCUGAGAGGGCGACCGGCCACACUGGGACUGGGACACGGCCCAGACGCCUACGGGAGGCAGCAGUGGGGAAGAGUGCACAAUGGGCUGAAGCCUGAUGCAACGACGCCGCGUGGGGGAUGACGGCCUGCAGGUUGGAAACCUCUUUCAGCAGGGACGAAGCGUAAGUGACGGUACCUGCAGAAGAAGCGCCGGCCAACUACGUG
rnacentral:rRNA from 1 species